GUAACAUAAGGCAUUCACACCUACUGUAUAUCAGUGUAAGAUAAGGUUUAUACCCCUGCCCCUAUGUGGUAACAUAAGGCGUUCACUCCUAUAUCAGUGUAAGAUAAGGUUUAUACCCCUGCCCCUAUGUGUAAGAUAAGGCGUUCACCCCUAUAUCAAUGUAAGAUAAGGUUUAUACCCCUGCCCCUAUAUGUAAUAUAAGGCAUUCACUCCUAUAUCAAUGUAAGAUAAGGUUUAUACCCCUGCCCCUAUAUGUAAUAUAAGGCAUUCACUCCUAUAUCAAUGUAAGAUAAGGUUUAUACCGCUACCCCUAUAUAACAUAAGGCGUUCAACCCUAUAUCAGUGUAAGGUUUAUACCCCUGCUCCUAUGUGUAACAUAAGGCAUUCACCCCUUUAUGACUGUAAGAUAAGGUUUAUACCCCUGCCCCUAUGUGUAACAUAAGCUGUUCACCCCUAUAUCAGUGUAACAUAAGGUUAUACCCCUGCCCUUAUAUGUAACAUAAGGCAUUCACCCCUAUAUCAGUGUAAGAUAAGGUUUAUACCCCUGCCCCUAUAUGUAACAUAAGGCGUUCACCCCUAUAUCAGUGUAAGAUACGGUCUAUACCCCUGCCUCUAUAUGUAACAUAAGCUGUUCACCCCUAUAUC